UGGGGAAUAUUGGACAAUGGGCGAAAGCCUGAUCCAGCCAUGCCGCGUGUGUGAAGAAGGUCUUCGGAUUGUAAAGCACUUUAAGUUGGGAGGAAGGGCAGUUACCUAAUACGUGAUUGUUUUGACGUUACCGACAGAAUAAGCACCGGCUAACUCUGUGCCAGCAGCCGCGGUAAUACAGAGGUGCAAGCGUUAAUCGGAAUUACUGGGCGUAAAGCGCGCGUAGGUGGUUAGUUAAGUUGGAUGUGAAAUCCCCGGGCUCAACCUGGGAACUGCAUUCAAAACUGGCAAGCUAGAGUACGGUAGAGGGUGGUGGAAUUUCCUGUGUAGCGGUGAAAUGCGUAGAUAUAGGAAGGAACACCAGUGGCGAAGGCGACCACCUGGACUGAUACUGACACUGAGGUGCGAAAGCGUGGGGAGCAAACAGGAUUAGAUACCCGGGUAGUCCCUGAGCGGGCUGGCAAGGCGCAU
rnacentral:rRNA from 1 species